rnacentral:rRNA from 1 species
UACGUAGGGUGCAAGCGUUAAUCGGAAUUACUGGGCGUAAAGGGUGUGUAGGCGGCUUUAUAAGUCUGAUGUGAAAUCCCCGGGCUCAACCUGGGAACUGCGUUGGAAACUGUAGAGCUAGAGUAUGUAAGAGGGGGGUGGAAUUCCGCGUGUAGCAGUGAAAUGCGUAGAGAUGCGGAGGAACACCGAUGGCGAAGGCAACCCCCUGGGACAAUACUGACGCUGAGGCACGAAAGCGUGGGGAGCAAACAGG